UUUGUGCUAAGGUAGCAUAAUAAUUUGUCUUUUAAUUAAAGACUAGAACAAAAGGUUUAACAUCUCAAUUAAUAUCUUAUAAGAAACUAUUUAAAUUAUUUUAAUUGUAAAAAAACAAUUUUUAAAAAGAAAGACGAUAAGACCCUAUCGAACUUUACUUUAGUUUAACUGGGGAAGUUAAUUAAUUAUUAUUUUAAUAAAAUUCAAUAUUUAAUUUGACCUAAUAUCAUUAACAAAAUAAUUAAGUUACCGUAGGGAUAACAGCGUAAUAAAAUUUUUAAGAUCUUAUUUAAAAUUAAGAUUACGACCUCGAUGUUGAUUUAAUAUCCUAAUUUACGCAAUAGUUAAUUAAGGAAGUCUGUUCGACUUUUAAAAAAUUACAUGAUCUG
rnacentral:rRNA from 1 species